GAGUUUGAUCCUGGCUCUCACUGAACGCUGGCGGCAGGCUUAACACAUGCAAGUCGAGCGGUAGGGGAGCUUGCUCCCUACGAGCGGCGGACGGGUGAGUAAUGUCUGGGAAACUGCCUGAUGGACGGGGAUAACUACUGGAAACGGUAGCUAAUACCGCAUAACGUCGCGGACCAAAGAGGUUCGUCUUGCCAUCAGAUGUGCCCAGAUGGGAUUAUCUAGUAAGUGGGGUAAUGGCUCACCU
rnacentral:rRNA from 1 species